GACGUAGGUGGCAAGCGUUACUCGGAAUUACUAGGCGUAAAGCGCACGUAGGCGGAAAUUUAAGUCUGUUGUGUAAUCUCCGGGCUCAACCCGGAAACUGCAACGGAAACUGGGUUUCUUGAGUGAGGCAGAGGAAGACGGAAUUCCUGGUGUAGCAGUGAAAUGCGUAGAUAUCAGGAGGAACACCGGUGGCGAAGGCGGUCUUCUGGGCCUUUACUGACGCUAAAGUACGAAAGCUAGGGGAGCAAACGGG
rnacentral:rRNA from 1 species